ACAAUACAUCAACGAAAGAGAGAAAAUUUUAGAAUCAUCAAAACCAAAAUGGAGAGAGGGAGGAGGAUGGAGCUUACUCUCCUACUUUCAUGGAACAUUCCUAAUCCUCUUCGUCUUCCUUGGAGGAAGAUCAACCACCAAACUAAUUACCCACCAUCCAAUUUUCUCCUUAUUUCUAUAAUCAUCAUUAUCCCUUCUUCUCUUUCUCUCUCUUUUGAUCUCAUUCUCCUUCCCAACACGUUCUUGACCCCAUUAAUCUUCAAAGAAAUUUCAUCAUGGCUUCAAUCUUGUGACCUUUUCGACUUUCUUUCUUUUAUUAUUCCAUUUCCGUUUUCAAUCGCUUUUAUAAGAAGGCACAUGGACAUCGUCUUUUUUUUCUUUCUGGGGGGGUUUCCUGACAAAUUCUCGACUUCUACUGCCCAUUUCCCGGGUUUUUGGCUCCAAAAACAGGAGCAUAUUAUUCUUGUAAGUUAGUGGCUAAGCUAUAUUCUUGAUGCCACUCCCUAGCAGUUUUCAACCAUGAAUUCAACAUCAGAGCAGAACAACAGAGAUUAUGCUGGACUCAGCAUCUCAAACUCAGCUGUUAAUGGAAGACCCUUUGUAGAUAGGAAUGCUAAGCAGAUACUGAUUUUAGCUGAGUGGUUGAGGAGUAUUUUCCCUGGUCUAAAUUUGCCAAUCAAUGCUUCCGAUGAGGAUCUCAAAGCAUGCUUGUUGGAUGCGAAUGUGUUGUCCCAAGUUCUGAACAAGCUAAAAAAACCUGGUUCUGCGAAGGAGGGAGGUUAUGUUAUCCCCAAUUUGGCUUCACGGGCGGAGAAGAUCACGAGGUUCCUUGCCGCUAUAUCCAGCAUGGGGAUCCUAAAAUUAGACAGUGCCGACAUUGAAGAUGGAUCUAUGGACUCUGUUUACAACUGUUUAUGGUCAAUUAGAGCACGGUUUAUGUCAAAUGACGUGGGAGAUAAACCUUUGGGAUGUAACUCACCUGCUAAGUCAGAAAACAUUCGUUUCGACACAUCCUUACAUGAACCUUUUUCUCCUAUGUUGGGAGAAGAAAGGAGGAAAGUCUUAUUUGAGUCCAAAUUUCUUCGUACCCUGAGUAGUCCAAUUAUGUCAGAAUCAUUAGUAGGAUCAAAUCACCAAGUUGGUCAUAAGUUUCACGAAGUAUUUCAAUUAAAGCAAGGUCGUUAUGCUGAUAUUCCGGCUGCAAAAAUUUCAGAAAUGAUGAAAUCAAAUAGUCUCGACCAUCUCUUAUUGCAGAAUGCUCCAACACAAUCACUUUUGAGUGUGGUGAACGGAAUUCUUGAUGAAAGUCUGGAGAAAAAGAAUGGUGAAAUUCCUCAUCGUGUGGCAUGCCUGUUAAGAAAAGUAGUUCAAGAAAUUGAGCGGCGUAUUUCUACUCAAGCAGAUCAUCUUCGAACUCAAAACAAUCUUUUCAAGGCUCGUGAAGAGAAAUUCCAGUCUCGAAUAAGAGUGCUGGAGGCACUUGCGUCAAACAUUAAUGAAGAAAAUCAGCAAGCUGAGAAGACUAAAGCGGAAGAAAAGAAGAAUUCUCUAAAUGAAGACGUGAGCAGGUUGAUUAAAGAAAGAGAUGAAUGCAAAGCAGAGAUUGUACUCUUGAAGCAAGAAUUGGAAACUGCUAAGAAGACUUACGAAUUGCGUUGCUUGCAAGUGGAAAUGGAAAAAGGUGAGGAUGUGAGUAAGUUGAUGAAAGAAAGAGACGAGAGCAAAGUAGAGAUUACAAUGUUGAAGCAAGAGUUAGAAAUAGCUAAAAAAACAUAUGAAUUACGUUGUUUGCAAUUAAAAACUGAAAUAGGCGAGGAUGUGGCUAGAUUGAUUAAAGAAAGAGAUGAAAGUAGAGAAAAAAUCACAAUGUUGAAACAAGAGUUGGAAACAACUAAAGAGAUGUAUGAAUUGCGUUGCUUGCAAGUAAAAACAGAAAAGGGGGAGGAUGUGAGCAGGUUGAUUGAAGAAAGAGAAGAAAACAAAGCCGAGAUCACAAUGUUGAAGCAAGAACUGGAAACAGCUAAGAAGACGUAUGAAUUGCAUUGCUUGCAAGUGGACACAGAAAAAGGGGAGGAUAUGAGUCGGUUGAUUAAAGAAAGAGAUGAGAGCAAAGCCGAGAUCGCAAUGUUGAAGCAAGAGUUGGAAGCAGCUAAGAAGACAUAUGAAUUGCGUCGCUUGCAAGUGGAAACAAAAAAAGGUGAGGAUGUGACUAGGUUAAUUGAAGAAAGAGAUGAAAGUAGAGUGGAGAUUAUAUCCUUAAAGCAAGAGUUGGAAGCAGCUAAGAAGACAUAUGAAUUGCGUUGCUUGCAAUUAGAAACAGAAAAUGAUGAGGGUAUGACUAGGUUGAUUAAGGAACGAGAUGAAAGCAAAGUUAAAAUCGUAACAUUGAAGCAAGAGUUAGAAGAAGCUAGGAAUGCAUAUGAAUUGCGAUGCUUGCAAUUUGAAAAGGAAAAAGAUGAAGAUGUGACUAGGCUGAUUAAGGAAAGAGAUGAAAGUAAAACUGAGACUGCGGUGCUAAAGCAUGAGUUGGAAACAACUACAAAGACAUAUGAAUUACGCCGCUUGGAAGUGGAAACAGAAACAAAAUCUGCUCAAUUAAUGCUCGAGGAAAGAAUAAAAGAACUUGAGAACCUCUUGGAAGAUUCAAGUAAUGAAGUGCAAGAACUUUCAACAAGUUUUGAAUUGAAGCAAAAAAAAUGGAAUGAAAAGGCAAACAGCUACAAGCAUAUGAUAGCAUUUCAAUACAAUCUACUACAGGGUGUUAGAUGCACCUCAGAGUCUGUUAAAGAAGAGGUUCUGAGAGUGAAGAUGGACUAUGCAAACGAAGUCAACCAAUUAGGACUCAAACUCAAAUCAUUAGCACAUGCAGCUGGAAACUAUCAUGUGUUGCUUACUGAAAAUAGAAAAUUGUUCAAUGAGAUACAAGAUUUAAAAGGAAACAUCAGAGUGUAUUGUCGAAUAAGGCCGUUUUUGACUGGGCAGAAAGACAAACGGAUGACCAUAGAAUAUAUUGGUGAAAAUGGAGAAGUGGUCAUAGCAAACCCCACCAAGCCUGGGAAAGAAGGUCAUAAGUUAUUUAAGUUUAACAAGGUGUACAGCCCAGCUUCAACUCAAGGGGAGGUUUUUUCUGACAUCCAACCACUGGUACGAUCUGUACUUGAUGGAUAUAAUGUAUGCAUAUUUGCCUAUGGCCAAACUGGUUCAGGAAAGACAUAUACGAUGACUGGUCCUAAUGGUGCUACUAAGGAGAACUGGGGAGUUAAUUAUCGAGCGCUCAAUGACCUUUUCGAAAUCUCUCAAAAUAGAAAUGGUGCCAUUUCUUAUGAAGUUGGUGCGCAAAUGGUUGAAGUUUAUAAUGAACAAGUGAGGGAUCUACUUUCAAGCAAUUCCCAGAAGAAACUAGGGAUUUUGACUCAUUCCCAACCAUUUGGACUUGCGGUACCUGAUGCUACCUUGCUUCCAGUGAAUUCAACCUCAGAUGUUAUAGACCUAAUGGACACUGGACUGAAGAACAGAGCAGUUGGCGCCACUGCCAUGAACGAAAGAAGUAGUCGGUCACAUAGUAUUGUGACUAUACACGUUCGUGGGGCGGAUUUGAAGGGUGGUUCCUCAUUGCAUGGUAAUCUUCACUUGGUAGAUCUUGCUGGAAGUGAGCGGGUCGACCGUUCUGAAGUUACAGGAGAUAGACUCAAGGAAGCACAACAUAUAAACAAAUCAUUGUCCGCACUUGGAGAUGUCAUUUUUGCUCUAGCACAAAAGAGCUCUCAUGUUCCAUAUAGAAAUAGCAAGCUCACUCAAGUCCUUCAAAGCUCUCUUGGUGGUCAAGCAAAGACGGUUAUGUUCGUACAGCUUAACCCUGAUGUGAACUCAUAUUCUGAGUCCUUGAGCACACUAAAGUUUGCAGAGAGAGUUUCUGGAGUCGAGUUAGGAGCAGCUCGGAGCACUAAGGAAGGAAGGGAUGUUAGAGAGCUAAUGGACCAGGUGGCAUCUCUGAAAGAUACUAUCAGCAAAAGGGAUGAGGAGAUUGAUAGGCUACAGCUACUCAAAGACCUCAAGAACAAUGUGUACAACGGUAUCAACACCGAGAAGCGCAGCACAGCUACUAUAAACAAAGAUGUGAAUGGCGUAGUGCCAAGAGUUCAGAAGCCUUCAGGUGGGAAGAGCAUAGGUGGAGCUAUGGAGAAAGAUGGUUUAGAUCAUGACAAUGCAUCAGACCAUAGCGAUGCACAAUCGGAAGCAGACUCGCAUCACUCAAUGGAUGAUGUGAAGAACCGUAAUGAAGCUAGUCGACGACUAGACAUAGGUCAGAAUAUUAUUGAAGAUGCUGAGACAUUAGGAUUUGCAGAUCCAGAUUAUGAAGAAAGAAUAAUGGACGUUGUUGAUGAUCUUACUGUUGAAACAGAAAAUGAUGCAACUACAGAAAGUAAGAAUUCCACUCGAGCCACAAAACCAGCAGAGAGGUUGGAAAAGCCCAGAUCUACAGCUACUAUUUCUAGGACCUUGCCUAAACAUUCACAAACUGCAUCAACUACACCGCCAGGAUCCAAGGAGCUUUCAAGGGUAUCAUCUGCACCAAAAUUCAAAAGUGUUAUUAAGUAAGACGUAAAGCAUUACUCAAACAGCCUCAAGGGGUGGCCCCAAUGGGACGAGCUCGGUGUCUCUUGGUCAUUCAACUUAGUAACUCGUCUUAAAAAAACUGUAACGGGACUCAAGUCUGGUAGAAGAUGGCAGUAAUUUCGAAGGGAACUUUCCUUUCCUUUUCUUUUUCAUAUUUAUUUGCGCUUUACAGAGUUUUUCUUUCCUUUUCCGUUCUUUUCUUUUUCCCCUUCAAUUUUCAUUGAGAAAAAAAUAUAGGUUAGGAAAAUUAAUUACCAUAAAGUUCUGUAUAUAAAAGGCCUCUAUGUAUAGUCCUCAAAUUGGGACGACAAAAGUGUAUAAAUGUAAAUUUCAAAUAGAGAAAAAAUGUCCUCAGUUCGGGUUCGGAUUCGGAUGCGGAUUUGGAUCAUCGUUGCAACUCACUUGCAACUGCAUAAAGCUAGAAUCAACAACUUACAUCCCCUCAGGUUCAAGAACUCAACAAGCCUUCAUCUUUAAGAUGGAAAGGAACGGGGAAAUAGGAAUAUGGCUGACUUUAUUGGGAUUCAAGGCUCUAAUAGUUGAAUACAUGAAACACUUUAAAUCUAAUGUUUUUUUUUUCUUCCAUAAUUCCAAAUGCAACUUUAAAAGUUGCUAUAUGAUCAAAUUAUUCAUUUUAAAAAUGAUGUAUAGUUAAAUUGAAACAAUGAAUAGUUGUAGAAUGAUUGUGUAUUAGAGACAAUGUGUUUAGAAGAUUGCCUUGAUGGGGCUAACGUAUCUAUGCUACUCUAUGAAGUGUUUAUGACCAGAUACAAAUUUUAGUAACAUAAAUUCUAAUAUUUGAAGACUUUA